rnacentral:rRNA from 1 species
AGAGUUUGAUCCUGGCUCAGAUUGAACGCUGGCGGCAUGCCUUACACAUGCAAGUCGAACGGUAACAGGUUAAGCUGACGAGUGGCGAACGGGUGAGUAAUGUAUCGGAACGUGCCCAGUCGUGGGGGAUAACUACUCGAAAGAGUGGCUAAUACCGCAUACGACCUGAGGGUGAAAGCGGGGGAUCGCAAGACCUCGCGCGAUUGGAGCGGCCGAUAUCAGAUUAGCUAGUUGGUGGGGUAAGAGCCCACCAAGGCGACGAUCUGUAGCUGGUCUGAGAGGACGACCAGCCACACUGGGACUGAGACGCGGCCCAGACUCCUACGGGAGGCAGCAGUGGGGAAUUUUGGACAAUGGACGAAAGUCUGAUCCAGCCAUGCCGCGUGUGGGAAGAAGGCCUUCGGGUUGUAAACCACUUUUGUCAGGGAAGAAACGGCUCUUACUAAUAUUAGGAGCUAAUGACGGUACCUGAAGAAUAAGCACCGGCUAACUACGUGCCAGCAGCCGCGGUAAUACGUAGGGUGCAAGCGUUAAUCGGAAUUACUGGGCGUAAAGCGUGCGCAGGCGGUUAUGCAAGACAGAGGUGAAAUCCCCGGGCUCAACCUGGGAACUGCCUUUGUGACUGCAUAGCUAGAGUACGGUAGAGGGGGAUGGAAUUCCGCGUGUAGCAGUGAAAUGCGUAGAUAUGCGGAGGAACACCGAUGGCGAAGGCAAUCCCCUGGACCUGUACUGACGCUCAUGCACGAAAGCGUGGGGAGCAAACAGGAUUAGAUACCCUGGUAGUCCACGCCCUAAACGAUGUCAACUGGUUGUUGGGAGGGUUUCUUCUCAGUAACGUAGCUAACGCGUGAAGUUGACCGCCUGGGGAGUACGGCCGCAAGGUUGAAACUCAAAGGAAUUGACGGGGACCCGCACAAGCGGUGGAUGAUGUGGUUUAAUUCGAUGCAACGCGAAAAACCUUACCUACCCUUGACAUGUCAGAGAUCCUGAAGAGAUUUGGGAGUGCUCGAAAGAGAAUCUGAACACAGGUGCUGCAUGGCCGUCGUCAGCUCGUGUCGUGAGAUGUUGGGUUAAGUCCCGCAACGAGCGCAACCCUUGUCAUUAGUUGCUACGAAAGGGCACUCUAAUGAGACUGCCGGUGACAAACCGGAGGAAGGUGGGGAUGACGUCAGGUCAUCAUGGCCCUUAUGGGUAGGGCUACACACGUCAUACAAUGGCCGGGACAGAGGGCUGCCAACCCGCGAGGGGGAGCCAAUCCCAGAAACCCGGUCGUAGUCCGGAUCGUAGUCUGCAGCUCGACUGCGUGAAGUCGGAAUCGCUAGUAAUCGCGGAUCAGCUUGCCGCGGUGAAUACGUUCCCGGGUCUUGUACACACCGCCCGUCACACCAUGGGAGCGGGUUCUGCCAGAAGUAGUUAGCCUAACCGCAAGGGGGGCGAUUACCACGGCAGGGUUCGUGACUGGGGUGAAGUCGUAACAAGGUA